GGCCAAGAACUCACAGAGAUCCGCCUGCCUCUGCCUUCCAAGUGCAGGUGUGUGCCACCAGCACCCAGUUUAUGUGUUCAUUCAUUCUCUUUUUGUAUAUAAAAUGAGGCAGCUCAUCUUCAAAGAACCGAGGAUCAUAAGAUCAGCCGUAGAAAAUACUGCCCAGGGCUUUUUUAAUGGACAUUUUAUGGGACCAGCAGGACCCGUAACUACAGUCGAUCCCCUGGACGUACAUGGUAAUAACGGAGGACUCCAGAGAGUUGUGACCUGAUUGCCACAAGCCCACUGUGCCACUCCCCGACACAAGCAAACUCAGUAAAUGAAAUUAAUAUCGUUUUUAAGUAAUGCGGAGAACGUGCAUUUUAGAAGCACCAAAUAAAUAGCACAGAGUAGAAAUUCUGGCAAGCUCAAGGCACCCAAACGUUUAAUAAGUUCUCCAGGUGGCUGUUUGUAGAGGCCACAGCUUGACUGCCUCUGACACGGUGGGGGCAGAAUUCUUAAGAGAAACUGUGGAGAGCUUGCAGAAGAGGAACACCCAAUCCCCACCUGGGGAAAGAAGCUCAGAGUUGGAAUCAUCUGUGAGAAGUAGCGGGUGUGGGAACUAGUCCUGAAAGGUGAAUGGGCCUCCAACCGGGGAGGGCAGUCACGCCACAUGCUAGCAGGAGGGCAGGAGAGCCCUUUCUCUGCUCAGACUCAAUGCCCAGAGCUGUAGCCCUUUCCCCGGCAGCCUCAGCGCGCCCAGCAGCAGGUGGCACAUUCCCACUUACUCUACAAAACAAGGUCGCUAUGGCUGAGACCAUGGGUCAUGGUCCUUUGACCUGUCUUUACUGGAGGAUCACUCAAAGCCUUCACUGAGGUAAAGGUGCACUGUGACUCUCCAAGGGAGAAUCCAGACAGCACAGUGUGUAAACUGAGAAAUUAACCUUGUCCCCAGGAAGGGACUCCUUAAUACUAUGGAAUCUGUUUACUGGUCCCUUUAAAAGGUGAAACUUGCCUUUACCCUGUGACUUGGCACUUCCAGUCUUAGUUGAAAAGGAUUGAUACCAGAUACUUAACUGUAGUCAUACACAACACAGGAUGGUCUGAUCAAUAGUGGACUUCAUGGCCAAGGGUGGUCUCAUGAGGUUCAAAUGAAACUCACAGUCUAAUAUGCUGUGGCCAGCUGAGUCUUAGUGCAAGAGUUACUCACCUGUUUGUGGUGGUGCUAAUGUAAGUAAACCCACCAAAUAACAGCAUAGAGAGUAUCAGUUUGCAGCAUAAAUUAUGUUUGAUAACAGAUGACUGACUUGCUUAUGUAUUUGCCAUAUUUCCUAUUGUUUUAGAGUGUACGCUUUAUGCUUUUUAAAAUAUAACUAUAAAUCUGCUGUUUCUGUGGCAGUGGCCUCUUGCCUGUAUCCCAAGACAAUGUGGAGUGACUGACCUUUACUUUCUAGGUCUGCGCAUUCUGUGAUGCUGGCACAAGGACAAAUUCACCUAACUGCAGUUCUCAGAGGAUAUCAUUGCCAUUAGUGGUGCACGACUGUAUGUGUACUAACGGUCAUGGUAGCCUUAUCCAAAAAAAUAUAAAUGGGGAAAAUAUUCUAAAACACCUAACAGUGGAUGGGUAAAUGAAACGUAUUAUAGGCAUACAAAGGAAUACUGUCCAGCCUUAAAACUGAAGGAAAUUAGGAUACACAUUAAAGCGUGAUCUCGCCUCAAAGACAUUAUGCUAAGUGAUUUCAGACACAAAAGGAUAAAUGCUGUAGGGGGCUUUUUCUGGGAGGCACCUAGCACAGUAGAAUCAGAGACAGUAGAAUAGCACUUACCAGGCAUGAGGGUGAGAGAGCAAUGAAGAGCUACUAUUCAGCAUACUCACAAUUUGUAUUUGAGAAGAUGAAGAUGUUUUGUGGGUGGAUAAUGCGUAGCAUACAAUGUUAUGAAUGUGUACCCACUGAAUUGUAUACUUAAAGUGCUAAAUUGAUGUUUUUCUCAUCUUACCACUUUAGUACAAUGAUGGUGUGGGCAGAACACUUCUUAGGAUGCCUGAUACCUGACAGAUAAUACAAUUGUAAAAGUGCUUUGUUUGGCCCUGUUCUUGGGGUGCUCUUUGCAAGGAUCCCCACUCUAGGAGUGAGUGGAAGCUGAGUCUUUGUUAGAGCAGUAGCUGAUCCUGAUGGGGGGAAAUGUUUCCUGUAAAUGGCCCCUGGCUUUCUGAGAUGGAGGACUAGAAGCUGGUGAAGCGAUGGGAAGGUGGUCCAGACAGACUGCACAUGGAGUGUUGUGCUUGCUCUGAGUCUUUGGUACAGAGUGAGGAAUAGGAUGGGAGAUGGGAAGGAAAGCAGUGGAUAUUGGUGGUGCAAGGGAGAAGUUGGAGAACUAGGGGACAUUCAAGCAGCAUUGCUUAGACUUAACUGAGCCCAGUGUGAGCAAGGUUAGAAAUGUGUUUGUAUUUCAUCCAUGCCUGUGACAAUUGUUUUCUGAGCUUCAGGCCCAACACUACAUGCCAGCUGGGAGCAAGUGAUAAUACAGGAAAAUGAAACAAAAAUAUCAGCGGUCCUGGUGCCGUUUCCAAGUGGACUGACUUCAAAUGGCUUAUUCUGGUUGCCUGUGAAGUAUGGGAGUUUUCAGGGAGUGGGUUCCCCUGGGAUGCAGAUACUGAGACGUGGCCAGGAGUGUAAAAGAUUAUUGGCACAGUUCACUGGAGAAAGGAAUAAUGCAGAAACUGAAUUGGGCAGAGGGGUGCCAUCAGAGUGUGAUGCCAAUUAAGUCUACAAAAUCUCUGCCAGCCACUCGAGACAUUCCCAUACAAAGAUUGCUCCUAUCCAGUAGAAGGGUUCCAUGCUGUGUAGAACUAGGCUGAAGGGCUUCCUGAGAAGAGGCGCUUGGUCAUCUCCAUCCUGCUGACUCAAUGACUAGGGUCCUUCUGAAGAGCUGCCAAACAGAGGAAGACCUGAAAAAGAAUUAAUGACGUCCAAUCUACACCCCAGGCAACUGAGGAAUCUGAUCAACUUAACACUGUGCCCGCCUUGUAGGGCACUGAGGGAGAACAGUGUCCCCAACCCUGUGUUCUCCAGUUCGCAGUAGAGAAUAUUCUUGGCAUACACAUUGGUUCUUUAGUGUCCGGACUUAAGCCAUGCGUGGCAACUGUCCUGCCACUGUCUCAUCCCCAGCCAUCAACAUGUGCGUUUCUGAAGUUAUUCCUGACUGAGUCUCUCGGGGUUGUCUCCACUGUCCAGCUUUGUGGGAACACUCUCAGUCCCUGGGGUUUCAGAAUCUGAGCGGUUCGUCCUGCGGCUGCCACAGCAUAUACCUCCGUGGGAACAAUGGCAACACUGUCCUCUGAAAAUGAGGAGGACCUCUUUUUCUUCUUGGGAGGCAUCAAGAGAGGGUGCUGGCUUCGGUGCCAGGCAGAGCUCGUUUUUUGAUGCUUACAUGCUUUGCAGCACCUGGAGUUCUCAAACUACCCCGAUCUGAACCCAUUUCUCAUUUAGAGGGGAUGUAGCUCAUCUCUCCAGCAGUGAGUACACAGAUUAUCCACAAAGACCCAGGUGCUCGUCAGAUGCUCUCGGAAGGGCCAUUGCCCUCUUUUAAAACUCACUGGUCCUGCCACCCAAGUGGAAUGAUCACUUAUGGGGAACCUCUGGCAAACACUAGCUCUGACAUAAGAACUCCGAAGUGCUGAGGAAAUGAGCCAACUGAGUGGACCUGCACAAAUCCUGCAACAGUGGUGCCUUCAAAGUCCACAGAAGCUCUGCUCACCUCAUGGCACAUACGUGCAUCGCCAGCUCCUGUACACCAUUGAAAAAUACAGCAGCACCUCCAGGAACAGCAAGCGGUCUCCUGUGCUAGGUUAUCUGUGCCACUGGGCUCCACUAGGGCCAUUUCCACACCACCCUUUACAGUGGGACAUUCACAUGGUCAAAAGGAUGUUAAACCUGUUUUCCUUUUCCUUCUGCACUCACUCCAGGUACCUACAACCCUGAGAAAUCCCUAACUAAACAGUCCCAUGCUACAUCCAGGACCAGUACUAGCUUCAUUCUCAAAUAUAUCCUCUCCAGAGUGGAUCAAGACUCUAGCAUGUUCAUCCUGAGGUCUAAGGAACUGCCUGGAAGUCAGGUAUGUGUGAGAUCAAGGAUGGAAUUGAAUAGGUAUGGAAUGUCUGUAUGUAUGAAGUAUUGUCAGGGUUGUAAAUGGAAGACAAGGGUGAUGGUUACAAGAAGAAAGUCUGCUUCUGGUUCUCAUGAUGCCAUUACAUUCUAGCGUUGAGUUCAAAAGAUGCUCUCAUUGUUCAAAAGAAAGCCUGGUGCUCUGCCUUGAAAGUUUGCUGAAGGCUUUCUUCCCAGAAUGUGGCACUGCUGGAAAAUGAUGGAACCUUAGUAGGUGGGGACUAUUCGGUGGAAGUUAAGCAAAUGGAUUGGGGUGCCCUCAAAAGCGAGGUAGGAUCUAUGUUAGUUGAGACAAGAUAGAGCAAUCUGAGAAGCAACCUCAAUUAAGAAAAGGUUUCUAUGAGAUAGGACUGCAAGCAAGCCUAUAGAUCAUUUUCAUAAUUAGUGACUGGUGUGGGAUAGCCCAGUCCAUUGUGGGUAUGGCCACCCUUGAGCUGGUGGUCCUGGGUUUUAUAAGAAAGCAGGCUGAGGAAGCAAUAAGGAGUAAGCCAGUAAGCAGUGCCUUUUGAUGGCUUCUCAGCUAUCUCCAGGUUCUUGUCCUGUUUGAGUUCCUGUUCUGACUUCCUUCAUUAAUGGACUGUGAUGUGGAAAUGCAAAUUAAGCCCUUUCCUUCCCAAGUUACGUUGGUCAUAGUGUUGCAUCGUAGCAAUAGAAACCCUGACUAGAACAGAAAUUGGUUCCUGUGUUGCUAUGUCAGACCCCAUCCUGUUUUUUAGAGUAUUGUGGGAGGACUUAGGAACAGAAAAGCUGAAAAAUCAAAGUUUGGUGUGCCGUUCUGUAGGAUCUUGGAAGACAGGAAUGUUGAGAGCAGUGUAGGUGACAGAGGCCUGGCUUGUGAUGUUUCAGAGGGAAGUACAGACUCUAUGGGACCAUUUGUGUAAAGGAACCGUGGUGUCUGCUCAGCUGCCGCUGAAGACUAGGCUGUAGUUAGCAAGAGAUCAUAACCACUAAUGUGAAGCAUUUGCUUUGCUGGGACAAUACAUGCUGGUCAGCUGGGAGCUGAGAAAUUAUCGAUGAUUAAGAAGAGACCAGCAUCGAGGUGAGGUCUCCUGGGAAGUGUUUCCUCAAAGUCAGCUCAAAGAAGCUGUGUUGGGGAAGGUUGUACCCUCCCUCUGGCAGCUGAACUUGAUCAUGUAAGAGCUUCCCAGGUGGUGCUGGUUUUAGAGGCAAAGAGAAGCUGAGGCUUGGCCCUGUGAGAGACCAGGAGAGAGCCACUGGUGAAGGUGCGGUCUCAGUAGCAGUUGAAGGCCCAAGAUUGAAGGGGUAAUGGGCAAUGUUGAGGCUUAGAACCAUGAAGAGAGCCCAGGAGAGGCUGUUGGUGAAAGUCCAGUUCAGUUGCAGCUGGAGACCCCAGCAUUCUGGGGAUGGCACUACCACGGGAUGACCAAGGACAACAGCAGCCAUUGGGUGGAGCUGGCCUAAACCUACAAGACAAGCUGUGUUUUGCAGGGAAUGGAGGCAGAGACCUGACCCAAGCCCUUUGGAGGAGCCUGUAAUACGGACUUUGUAGCCAGACCCAGUUAACCUGGUCGUCAGCACUCUGACUCACCAAGAUGAUGGAAGCAGCCUGUGCCUGUUGUUCUGGGUGCUGCUUUCUCACAGGCGGUUGGAAGAGAGCUCUGAAGUCUGAACAUAUACCAUCCUGGAGCCCAGGAACCCCAGGAGUCCUGCAAGCAGGGGAGCCUGCAGCUGCCCUGGGUGGUGCCUAAACCUACUCUCCUAGUCACAUGACACCAGAUAUGCACUUAAGGACAGUGUUACAAGUGGAGUACUGGCGGAAGAGCCAAGCUGACAGAAGAUGAAAGAGAAAUUGUGCACACCAGGCUAAAAGUGGCUCAGGUUCCUAAGACCCAGGAGCCAACUUGCACUUGCCAGUGUUGAGAAGAGUGAAAAUGUGAUGAGUAAUCAGAAAUGGAGCUGAAAAGCCACUCAACGCAUUCAUAUUCCCAGCUCACUCUCUUCACCCUCCCUCUUCUCGCUCCCAUCUCUCCUUGCAUUGCCUGCUUCCAAUCUUCUCUCCCCACAGACUUACCCUGCUUCUCGGAUCUACAUAUCUGGCAAAUGAUGCCCAUUCUAUGGUUCCAGGCCUAAUAUAAAAGAAGAAAGAACCAA